AUUGAACGCUGGCGGCAGGCCUAACACAUGCAAGUCGAGCGGAUGAGUGGAGCUUGCUCCAUGAUUCAGCGGCGGACGGGUGAGUAAUGCCUAGGAAUCUGCCUGGUAGUGGGGGACAACGUUUCGAAAGGAACGCUAAUACCGCAUACGUCCUACGGGAGAAAGCAGGGGACCUUCGGGCCUUGCGCUAUCAGAUGAGCCUAGGUCGGAUUAGCUAGUUGGUGAGGUAAAGGCUCACCAAGGCGACGAUCCGUAACUGGUCUGAGAGGAUGAUCAGUCACACUGGAACGGAGACACGGUCCAGACUCCUACGGGAGGCAGCAGUGGGGAAUAUUGGACAAUGGGCGAAAGCCUGAUCCAGCCAUGCCGCGUGUGUGAAGAAGGUCUUCGGAUUGUAAAGCACUUUAAGUUGGGAGGAAGGGCAGUAAGUUAAUACCUUGCUGUUUUGACGUUACCGACAGAAUAAGCACCAGCUAACUCUGUGCCAGCCGCCGCCGUAAAAC
rnacentral:rRNA from 1 species